AAAGUGUACCCAAACUUCUUUCAUUGACACCAUGAAUAAUCUUCCUAUAUAAUAAAGCAAAACUUUGCAAUCCUAGGUGGCACAAUUCUAAGCCCUCCCCCUUAUUUGUAUCCUAUGUGUCAACACAUGAAGCCCCUCCCUUUAAUUGAAUUCCAGGUUUACACCAGAAAGAAGCCUAUGCGUUUGCAGGUUUCCUCAAAUAACUUAUCUCAUUCAAAAUUCAAAUUCAUUAUCACCAAACCAAAUCUGCAAAACAAAUUCCAAAACCCAGAGAAAAAGAGAGAGAAGAGAAGAGACGACCCAUGUUUCAUCUUUUCAAAAACCCUUUUACCAACGCGUUUUCUUCGGAUCUUCGUUUUUCUUCGUUGUUUUUGACGAUUUCGUUUACAUAUUCGUGUAGAUCGUUCUUUGAUCUACGUUUUGUGUAUGGAUUUGAUGUGUUUUGAUGAAACUUCCGUCAACGAUCGUUGCGGUUAUCAGAGGUUAAGAUCUAGAUUUGUUGUUUCAGAAGGAUGAGGGUUGGAGAAACGACGAUGGUGGUGAGCAGUGGUAAGCUUUGGCGAUUAAUCUCUCAAACUCGAUUUUGAAUCUUUGAAUCAACAAGUUUUAUCUUCUCAAUUUCAACAAACCGUAGAUAUCUUCAAUUGCGACUGAAGCAAACAGGCAAGUUUGUUAUAGACCUAUGAAAUCAAGUAAAUGAUCAAGUUGUAGUAUAGUAGAUAUGCAGAUGAAGCGAAUUAGGCUUCCGGAACCUCCUGGUAGUCCACCGAGAGGUGUACCGGACAUCUUCAUAAGUGGUGUUUACGGUGUCGUCAAGCGCGCUAUUAUCAUCAGUAACGGUUGUCCGGCGUUGGAUAAUCAGAGCGUCAGUUCAGUUUGAGUGCUUGGGUUGUCAGAAAAGCAAACUUCAUAUGAAAACGGGAAGCUUGAGAAAUACAAGUUAGCAUCGGAAGGUAUUAAUCAAGCACAACUGGCUGGUGAAUUAUUCUUAAAGGAACUCAAGGAAAACGACAUUCCACUUGAAAAUGUAAGAAUAUGUUAUUCUCCGUUUUCAAGAACCACCCAUACAGCCGAAGUGGUUGCUUCAGUUCUGAAUCUUUCAUUCUUUUAUAGAAGGACCCCAAUGCAAGGUUAGGGUAUUGGUGGGGCCCGAUGAGUUUCUUCGGGAGCGGUAUUUUGUUGCAUCUUUUUCCUUUGUCAAAAGACACGAGUUUAUACAUGUAGUCAAUAUGCAGGUUUAUGAAGAUCUUCGAGAGCGUUAUUUUGGUCCUACAUUUGAACUUCAAUCUCAUGAUAAAGAAAAGCACAAUGAGCUGGAGAAAAUUAAGACGAAGCACACUUCAACGCUAUUAAUUAUAUUGCAGUGAUGUUACAGUAUCAGCAACCAUAAUUAAAUUGCAGCGCUAUGGUGUCUUUGGAUAAUGAGAAACAGUCGGGCUUUUAAUGAAAAGGGGGAACCCUGUGCCAAGGUGGCUGAGAAUGUGAAGGAGCAAUCCUAAGGAAGGCGCACCCACCUAGGCUCAUCUCGCUUCAUCAUCAAUCGGGACACAAGAAAACCCGCCAACGACAACGACAUUUCUCCUCCUAACAUACAAACGCAUAGCAACAAGAAAAGGAGCAAAAGGACAGUAUUUGUGUUUGUUUUUGUUUUUGUUUUUGGUACUUAGAAAAGGGGAAACUUAAAUAUUUGUUAGUAAAUUCAUAGAGGUGCUGGUCAGUGAGGAAAAAACUUUAAGGUAGAUUGACAAUUUGAAAUCUGUUAGCUAGAUAAGUUCUAGAUAAGUUAGUUUUUAGUUGGUCUAUCAGCAGAAAGAAAGGAGAUAAAAAGUAUGUUUUUGUGUUGCACAUUUUAAGA